CGAGGGGAGAGGCAGCGCAGAGGGAAGGAGCGGGGCGAGGAGAAGGGGCGGGGCGAGUACUGCUCCAAGAUAUGGCAACCGUGACAGCUUUGCGAGUAGCUCCAGGUCCCCUGCUGCUCCGUGAGAAAUCAAACUUCUGGCAAUGACGAAGCAUGAAGCCAGCAUCUCAGGGAGAGGUAGUGACAUAAUUACACGAUAAGACAAGCCGCCUGGUCUCGCUGUCACUUGGCAGGCAAGAGAGGUGAGAAAACUGACACUUGGAGAGGUAGAGUAGCUUUAUUUACUUCACACAAGCUUUUGAUGAAUUUCAAGUCUCAACCUAGAAGUCUUCCUCUAAGGUUCGUGCUUUCACGCACCUGUAAUUCAAAUACUGAUGAAAACAAAACUAUUGCCCUCCUACCAAAUGGGAAAUUAAUGUUAUGACUGGAUAAGACAAUUGUGAAGAAACUGCACUUCGAGGUUGUCUGUCUCCGUAUUCCGAUGGAAAAGGCUGGACUUUAGAAGCAUUGCUCGCUCCUUCAGUUUCUAACAAGAGUUUUACAGUUUCUGAUUAAAUACCAAUGGGAUAUCACCUCCCAUCUCUUAGGAUGGCUGUUAUAAAAAGGACAAGAGAUAACAAGUGUUGGUGAUGGUGUGGAGAGAAGGGAACCUUUGUACACUGCUGGUUAAAAUGUAAGUUAGUACAGCCAUUAUGGAAAACAGUAUGAAAGUUCCUGAGAAUCUAAAAAUAGAACUACCAUAUGGCUCAGCAAUCCCUCCUAUGAAUUAUAUAUCAACAGGAAAUGAAAUCAGCAUCUGAUAGAGAUAUCUUCACUCCCCUCUUCUCCGUGCCCCACCACAGCAUUGCUCCCAACAGCCAAGCCAUGGGAUGAAGUUACUGUGCAUUGAUGGAUGAGUGGAGAAAAGAAAAUGUGGGGGAGGUGUUUGUGCAUGUAUGUGUGUGUGUGUAUAAUAUAUAAUAAUAUAAUAUUUUUCAGCUUUUAAGAAGUUGAAGAUACUGCCAUUUGUGAUAACAUAAAUGAAUCUGGAGGAUAUUAAGCUAAGUAAAAUAACUUAGGGAGAGAGAAAAAUACUGCAUAAUUUCUGUUACAUAUGAAAUCUUUAAAAAGGUUUAAUACAUAGAGACAUGAUAGAGUGAUGAUUUGGGGGAUAAGAGACACAAGUCAACGUUUCAGUUAUAUAAAAUAAAUGAAUCUAGAGGACUAAAGUACAAUUUAAAGGUUAUAGUUACUAUUUUUAUAUUAUAUACUAGUGAUUUUUGAACAGGGUAAACUUUAGGUGCUUUGACACCAAAAGGAAACUACAUGAGUUCAUGUAUAUGUUAAAUUGUUUGACCGCAGUCAUCAUUGAUAUGUAUAUGUAUAUAUAUAUAAUUAUGGGCUCAUUAAAUUUAAAUGCUAUAAAUAGGUAACAAAGAAUAAAGUUAAUUGAAAAACUGCAUCAUUAGACUUGAUUUUGCCUACAUGAAAAACUGAAACUGCCUCCUAAAUAUUAAUAUUUGUACAUCGCAUAAAGUUUAUAUGUUGGAAAUAUGUUUAAAGAAAAGGAAUUAUAAAUUUUAAUAAACACAGAAUGACACAGUAAAUGCAAAACAGUAGAAAGAGAUGAAAAUCUGAUUAAUCAGAGUGGUUAAUGCUUAGAUAUAAUUAAUGAUGUGUUAGGAGCAAUUUCAAGCCACUUCCACAUAGAUUUAAUACCAAAGAGUUUAUGUGUACACAGAGAUUAAAUAAAAAAAUACAUUUACAAUGAUAUUAAUUGAUAUUAAAAUGAUUAUGAAAUCAACUGUCUGCUAUAGAAAAAAUAGAGCAUUAAGUAACUAGCAGUAAGUUUGAAACUUUGUUAGAAAGUUAAUCAAGUGAAAAAGUGAUCAGCAUUUUUGAGCACUAAAUAGAGGAUGGACAAAAUUUUCUUUUCUUUCUUUCUUUUUUUUUUUUUUUUGAGAUCGAGUCUGUCUCUGUCGCCCAGGCUGGAGUACAGCGGCGCAAUCUUGAUCUCGGCUCACUGCAAGCUCUGCCUCCCGGGUUCACGCCAUUCUCCUGCAUUAGCCUCCUGAGUACCUGGGACUGCAGGCGCCCACAGCCAUCCCUGGCUAAUUUUUUGUAUUUUUAGUGGAGACGGGGUUUCACCGUGUUAGUCAAGAUGGUCACGAUCUCCUGAGCUCAUGAUCCACCUGCCUCAGCCUCUUAAAGUGCUGGGAUUACAGGCGUGAGCCACCGCACCUGGCCUAUAAUUUUCCAAUACCAAGAAAAUCAUUUGAUAUUGCAAGAUUUUAAACCUAAAUUAGUGUCUUUAACUUCACAAAGGUAGAAAUCCUAUAAGUAAUGUUUCUUGAACACUUUAAAAUGACAAUAAAAACUAAAGUGUAACCAACAAGUAACAUGUAGCCACAUGCAAAUUUCCUUUUAGAUUGUUUUAUUAUUUUUUUAACUUUAUGUGAAUUUUUAUUUUACUAGGUUUUUGGGGAACAGGUGGUGUUUGGUUAGAGGGAUAAGUUUUUAGUGGUGAUCUCUGAGAUGUUGGUGCAGUGUACACUGUACCCAAUGGGUAGCCUUUGAUCCCUAAGAUUGUUUUAAAUGACAUCUAGAUUAAAUAGAACAUUCAAACUGACAUUACUUUUACAGCACCAGAGAAAUGCUAAGGAGGAAGCUUUGUGACUGAAACCAAAAGACCUGAAUUUAUAUAUUUAAUUUUACUAAUUAACAUUCUUAAUUUUAUAGAAAAACAGCAAUUCUGCCCACAUGCAGGAGUUAUGCAUUAAAGUGGAGCAUGAUCACUUCAGACAUUUGUCCAAAACAUAAAAAUUCUUCCAAGUAUUAAGAAAAUAUUUAUACUUCACAGAUAUUGUUAGUGUAUAAUACAUGGGCAUUGAGAUGUUUCAAAUGAGAAAAAUUGAAAUUUCUCAUGGGGCAUUGUUCUACACAAAAUAUUUAUGUAAAAUUUUUUACUCAUAUAUGCAUGUGGACAUUUGAUGUUUUAGCACAGAAUAACAUAUUCUCAAAGGUCAUUUAAUGUAGUAAAUUAAAAAUCUUUAAAGUUUACAAGAAUUUUAAAACUGCCCAGCAGAACUGAUAGAAAAAUAUGGGAGCUUCCCAGGACCAGAAGUGAAUCAAGAGGCAAAUUCACAGGAGUCAUGAAAGUGAGAAGUUAGAGCUGCCUUCAGGUACAGCUCUGAUUGCAGGGCUGAUUACACAGACCUCAAGCCUGUGAAAAUCGUCCACUCUGCCCCUUGGAAUAUACAUACAGAGAAAAUUACUAACUGGGGCAUCCCAAAUGUGAGAUCUCUAUAAUGUAAGAACCAAAUUGCAAUUAUGAAGCACACAAAAGAAGCUACCCAAAAAAGGGAAAGAAAUUAUACAUCACGUAAACUUCACAGAUUGGAAACGUAUUUAAAAUAAGUAACACAAAUAGGGAAAGAGAAUAUCAAAAUAAUUUUGAAAACACAUGAAGUUCUAAAGCGGGCACUGGGGGCAGUGGCUCAUGCCUGUACUCCCAAGCACUUUGCGGUGGCCAAAGCAGGAGGAUCACUUGAGGCCAGGAGUUUGAGAUCAGCCUGGGCAACAAAGCAAAAGUUGUCUCUACAACAAAUAGAUAUAAAAAAAUAAGCCAGGCACAGUGGUGUGUGCUUGUACUGUCAGCUACUGGGGAGGUGGAGGUGAGAGGGUCUUUUGAGACUGGGAAUUUGAGGUUGCAGUGAGCUAUGACCACCACUGAACUCAAGCCUGGGUGACAGAGAUUCUUUCUCAAACACACACACACACACACACACACACACACACACACACACACACACACACUAAACAGGCAUGUUUUGCAAAGACUCAAACAGAAAUUGAACAACUGAAACUUAAAUAAAUUUAAUAUACAGUGUAUGGUUUAAUUAUUAAACCAAGUUAAUAACAACAGGAUUAGUGAACUAGAAUACUGAGAUGAGUAAAUAAAAGAACUACAGAAAAAUGAAAUGAUCACAAUACAAAAAUGAGUAUACAUGUACAAAGAAUAAAAUGAAAUGAAAUCAAAUACAUUGGUUUCACUAGCUUACAUAUAAAUAACAAAUCACAUUAAUAACAAAUAUUUAUAAAUUUCUGAAACUGAAUAUCAGAUGGGAACCCUUGAAUGCAGAAGUGUAUUGUGAUUAAUAGUGGCCUACCAAUAAAAAAUACUCAACAGAAAUAAAAGUCAAACUGCAUAACAGCAAAGAAAAGAAAAAAUUUUAAAGCCAUAAGAGAGAAAAGAAGAGAGAACCAAUGAAGGUGAGAGCAAAGUCUUCACAGCCCGUGUUCAGUCAGAAAACAGAGAAAUAAGUAAGAGUGCUGAGAUAAGUCACUGUUCAACCAAUAAUUAGAUACUUCACUAACAUAUUUUGAAUAAGUGAGGAUGCACUACAUGAUUUCCAAAAGUAAAAAAGUGGGAAAUCUUAUUACCAAUAUGAGCUUAUUAAGAAUACACUUCAAAAAGAAAAAAAAUUUAAAAUGGAGUUCAAGGAAUCAAAAUGAAAUGCAAGAAACUGCAAACAUAUUGGGCUAUCAAAUCAUGGUGGACAAUGAACAAAAGGAUCCAUCAAGUCUUUGGCAGCAUCAGUUUCCAAAUGAUUUACAUAAAAUAAAAGUGCUAAACUCUAUACAAUGUAAUGAAAUAAAUUAUCAAAUCCUCUGAUACUUGAAUAAUUUAACUGAUGUUAGAAUCUCCUUUUCAGAUAAUUAUUUUCAUGGAAAAAAAUAUACAAUACUUCUGUCUCAUCAUUUGCAGAAUAUCAAUUAUCCUUUUUUCAGAACUUAUUAGCACCAAAGGGCUCACAGUGGCAUAGGCCCUGGUCACAAGCCUCUGGACACCCAG
rnacentral:lncRNA from 10 species